AGGCGAGUAGCUCAAUUUGGCAGAGCGGCGGUCUCCAAACCGCAGGUUGCGGGUUCAAGUCCUGCCUCGCCUG
rnacentral:tRNA from 1 species